GCCAAUGUGGUACAAUGGUUUGUGCACUGGACUAUGACUCUGGAGACCAGGGUUCGAAUUCCUGAUCAGGCA